rnacentral:rRNA from 1 species
CUGCCUGCAAAACGGGGAAACCUCCGGGAAACCGGAGCUAAUACCGGAUAGUAUCUUGAACCGCAUGGUUCAAGCUGGAAAGACGGUUUCGGCUGUCACUUACAGAUGGGCCCGCGGCGCAUUAGCUAGUUGGUGAGGUAAUGGCUCACCAAGGCAACGAUGCGUAGCCGACCUGAGAGGGUGAUCGGCCACACUGGGACUGAGACACGGCCCAGACUCCUACGGGAGGCAGCAGUAGGGAAUCUUCCGCAAUGGACGAAAGUCUGACGGAGCAACGCCGCGUGAGUGAUGAAGGUUUUCGGAUCGUAAAACUCUGUUGUUAGGGAAGAACAAGUGCGAGAGUAACUGCUCGCACCUUGACGGUACCUAACCAGAAAGCCACGGCUAACUACGUGCCAGCAGCCGCGGUAAUACGUAGGUGGCAAGCGUUGUCCGGAAUUAUUGGGCGUAAAGCGCGCGCAGGCGGUUUCUUAAGUCUGAUGUGAAAGCCCCCGGCUCAACCGGGGAGGGUCAUUGGAAACUGGGAAACUUGAGUGCAGAAGAGGAGAGUGGAAUUCCACGUGUAGCGGUGAAAUGCGUAGAGAUGUGGAGGAACACCAGUGGCGAAGGCGACUCUCUGGUCUGUAACUGACGCUGAGGCGCGAAAGCGUGGGGAGCGAACAGGAUUAGAUACCCUGGUAGUCCACGCCGUAAACGAUGAGUGCUAAGUGUUAGAGGGUUUCCGCCCUUUAGUGCUGCAGCUAACGCAUUAAGCACUCCGCCUGGGGAGUACGGUCGCAAGACUGAAACUCAAA